CUUCCCUGGUGGCUCAGUGGUACAGAAUCUACCUGCCAAUACAGGAGAGGGGGGUUCGAUCCCUGGGUCGGGAAGAUCUCCUGGAGAAGGAUGGCAACCCACCCCAGUGUUCUUGCCUGGGAAAUCCCAUGGACAGAGGAGCUUGUGCCUUGGAGAAUGAUGGAAGCUCUUGGACCUUCAUCACAAAACACACAGACAUGCCAUCUUAUGGGUGUAAUGUUGAGCAGCUCACAGGCUCCCUGGAGGCCAGAGCACAGAUGCUGGAGCUUGGGCCCAGAGGUUGUUGUGCACGGGCAUAUUUGCCUCAUGGCAUGUGAGCUCUUAUUUCCCGGACCAGGGAUCGAUCCUGUGUCCCCUGUGCUGGCAGGAAGAUUCUUAUUCACGGUGCCACCAGGGGAGUCUCCACACUCUGUUAAAUGAUCCAUCGCCAGUGUGAAAUUCUCCAUAAUUUUGAAUGAGGGCUGACUUCAUUUUGCACAGGGCCCUGCAAAUGAUGUGUCUGGACCAG
ensembl:lncRNA